CGUGUAGGCGGCUUUGCAAGUCGGGUGUGAAAGCCCUCAGCUCAACUGAGGAAGUGCGCCCGAAACUGCAGAGCUUGAGUACCGGAGAGGGUGGCGGAAUUCCCCAAGUAGAGGUGAAAUUCGUAGAUAUGGGGAGGAACACCGGUGGCGAAGGCGGCCACCUGGACGGUCACUGACGCUGAGACGCGAAAGCGUGGGUAGCAAACA
rnacentral:rRNA from 1 species